rnacentral:rRNA from 1 species
CAACUUUCAGCAACGGAUCUCUUGGCUCUCGCAUCGAUGAAGAACGCAGCGAAAUGCGAUAAGUAAUGUGAAUUUCAGAAUUCAGUGAAUCAUCGAAUCUUUGAACGCACCUUGCGCUCCUUGGUAUUCCGAGGAGCAUGCCUGUUUGAGUGUCAUUA